rnacentral:rRNA from 1 species
GAUGAACGCUGGCGGCGUGCCUAAUACAUGCAAGUCGAGCGAACGGACGAGAAGCUUGCUUUUCUGAUGUUAGCGGCGGACGGGUGAGUAACACGUGGAUAACCUACCUAUAAGACUGGGAUAACUUCGGGAAACCGGAGCUAAUACCGGAUAAUAUUUUGAACCGCAUGGUUCAAAAGUGAAAGACGGUCUUGCUGUCACUUAUAGAUGGAUCCGCGCUGCAUUAGCUAGUUGGUAAGGUAACGGCUUACCAAGGCAACGAUGCAUAGCCGACCUGAGAGGGUGAUCGGCCACACUGGAACUGAGACACGGUCCAGACUCCUACGGGAGGCAGCAGUAGGGAAUCUUCCGCAAAGGGCGAAAGCCUGACGGAGCAACGCCGCGUGAGUGAUGAAGGUCUUCGGAUCGUAAAACUCUGUUAUUAGGGAAGAACAUAUGUGUAAGUAACUGUGCACAUCUUGACGGUACCUAAUCAGAAAGCCACGGCUAAGUACGUG